CUUCACCGACCCCAACAACAACGGCGCCCGACCGGCACGAUCCUGCCCAUACGUCGCCAACAACGCCUGCGCCUC
rfam:Micromonospora nigra strain DSM 43818 genome assembly, contig: Ga0070616_13